GGAAUAUAAGAAUCCGUCUCUUAACUUUUAAAUAAAAAAGUUAAAAACCGUCUCUUAAAACUCUUAUUUAAGAGCCGGUUCUUAGUUUUUUAGUUAAAAGUUAAGAAUCAGGUUCUUAUAUUCU
rnacentral:pre_miRNA from 1 species